rnacentral:rRNA from 1 species
AAACAUAUGAGUGCCUCGCAAGAGGAGCCCGAUGACAGGUGCUGCAUGGCUGUCGUCAGCUCGUGUCGUGAGAUGUUGGGUUAAGUCCCGCAACGAGCGCAACCCUUGUCUUUAGUUGCCAUCAUUAAGUUGGGCACUCUAAAGAGACUGCCGGUGUCAAACCGGAGGAAGGUGGGGAUGACGUCAAGUCCUCAUGGCCUUUAUGACCAGGGCUACACACGUACUACAAUGGCAGGUACAAAGGGCAGCCACUUAGCGAUAAGGAGCGAAUCCCGUAAAACCUGUCUCAGUCCGGAUUGGAGUCUGCAACUCGACUCCAUGAAGUUGGAAUCGCUAGUAAUCGCAGAUCAGCACGCUGCGGUGAAUACGUUCCCGGGCCUU